rnacentral:rRNA from 2 species
CAAGUCGAACGAGAGAAUUGCUAGCUUGCUAAUAAUUCUCUAGUGGCGCACGGGUGAGUAACACGUGAGUAACCUGCCCCCAAGAGUGGGAUAGCCCCGGGAAACUGGGAUUAAUACCGCAUAAAAUCGCAAGAUUAAAGCAGCAAUGCGCUUGGGGAUGGGCUCGCGUCCUAUUAGUUAGUUGGUGAGGUAACGGCUCACCAAGGCGAUGACGGGUAGCCGGUCUGAGAGGUUGAACGGCCACAUUGGGACUGAGACACGGCCCAGACUCC